CCUACGGGCGGCAGCAGUGGGGAAUUUUGGACAAUGGGGGCAACCCUGAUCCAGCCAUCCCGCGUGUGCGAUGAAGGCCUUCGGGUUGUAAAGCACUUUUGGCAGGGAAGAAAAGUUUCGGGCUAAUACCCUGGGGCGAUGACGGUACCUGCAGAAUAAGCACCGGCUAACUACGUGCCAGCAGCCGCGGUAAUACGUAGGGUGCAAGCGUUAAUCGGAAUUACUGGGCGUAAAGCGUGCGCAGGCGGUUCGGAAAGAAAGAUGUGAAAUCCCAGGGCUUAACCUUGGAACUGCAUUUUUAACUGUCGAACUCGAGUAUGUCAGAGGGGGGUAGAAUUCCACGUGUAGCAGUGAAAUGCGUAGAGAUGUGGAGGAAUACCGAUGGCGAAGGCAGCCCCCUGGGAUAAUACUGACGCUCAUGCACGAAAGCGUGGGGAGCAAACAGGAUUAGAUACCCGGGUAGUCAG
rnacentral:rRNA from 1 species